rnacentral:lncRNA from 1 species
AUUCAUUCUCCAAUAUCUGUAGCCAAGCUUCAUUUUUCCUAUUGAAUAAUUGACCGAGGGUCCUCCAUAUUUCAUGGGCUGAUUUACACUUUAUAAUAUGAUCGAAUAAACUUGAGGAAAUGGUUCUCUUCAAGAUGAGCUUCGCCUUCGCAUUAGUCUGCUUCCUCUUCUUACAUGCAUCAUUAUUUUUCGGUCCGUCCACAGGAGGAUUUGUGUUACUUCCGUUAACAAUAUCCCACAAGUCAUCACCCACAAGGUAUGAUUCCAUACAUGUCUUCCAUACCUUAUAAUUGGACUGAUUCAACAGCUCUAUUCCCAGUCCAUUAACGCGACCGCUUAAAUAUUCGAACAAACUAGUUGAAUCGACUACAAACCAGAUCUUGAAAUAAACACAAGUCAAUCUAUGACUUUGGCUCUGAUACCAUGUCAAUAAUAGCAGAAGAAAAGUGUAACUAAGGAUACCUUCUGCUAGCCCAAGAUCGUUAACUAUGAUAGGAAAAUUCAAUUAAGAAGAGUAAGCUAGAAAGGUGAAGGAAGAUAUUGAAAGGAAACUUGGGUAUAUAAGAAGACUUCUUGAAUUG